CCAGGAGGGCAUUCAUUUCUGCCGAAUCAUCCGAGAAGAUUCGAAGAGCUUUGAGGAGACAAACUCGUCAGACCGGUGACAAGUAUAACAUAGAUACCACAGAAAAGCCUCCAAUUGAUCCGUCAAUCCAAGAAUCCAGCGAUGAUGAAAGUGAUCAUGAAGAUCAACCAGAAGUUGUUCAACCGGCGCCACAAUUAACAAGAACAAUAGUACAACAACCACGACUGCGAGCUAAUGAUAAGGUUAAAUUUGUCAAUGUAGAUGGGGUACAACAGAAAGUUACAAUUUUAAGUAGAGCCGGUAAAGCCGGACAACAAAAUGGUUUUAGAAGUAAUGAGAGAUUAACAGUUAUAACACGGGUGUUCUGUUUCAUACACCUCGUGUGACUGGGCAAUAACCACCGCCACUAUAGUUCGGCGUCAUGGUAUACUCUAAUCCAGAAAACAUCGGUUCGAGGCUUGGCACUGCU